UACGGGGGGGGCAAGCGUUGUUCGGAAUUACUGGGCGUAAAGGGUUUGUAGGUGGCCCGCUAAGUCACACGUGAAAUCCCUCAGCUUAACCGGGGAACUGCGUCCGAUACUGGUUGGCUUGAGUUUGGGAGAGGGAUGCGGAAUUCCAGGUGUAGCGGUGAAAUGCGUAGAUAUCUGGAGGAACACCGGUGGCGAAGGCGGCAUCCUGGACCAAUACUGACGCUGAGGAGCGAAAGCCAGGGGAGCAAACGGG
rnacentral:rRNA from 1 species